rnacentral:rRNA from 1 species
UCAGGCUCAGAUUGAACGCUGGCGGCAGGCUUAACACAUGCAAGUCGAGCGGAAACGAUGGGAGCUUGCUCCCAGGCGUCGAGCGGCGGACGGGUGAGUAACACUUAGGAAUCUACCUAGUAGUGGGGGAUAGCUCGGGGAAACUCGAAUUAAUACCGCAUACGACCUACGGGAGAAAGGGGGCAGUUUACUGCUCUCGCUAUUAGAUGAGCCUAAGUCGGAUUAGCUAGAUGGUGGGGUAAAGGCCUACCAUGGCGACGAUCUGUAGCUGGUCUGAGAGGAUGAUCAGCCACACCGGGACUGAGACACGGCCCGGACUCCUACGGGAGGCAGCAGUGGGGAAUAUUGGACAAUGGGGGGAACCCUGAUCCAGCCAUGCCGCGUGUGUGAAGAAGGCCUUUUGGUUGUAAAGCACUUUAAGCAGUGAAGAAGACCUAACGGUUAAUACCCGUUAGCGAUGACAUUAGCUGCAGAAUAAGCACCGGCUAACUCUGUGCCAGCAGCCGCGGUAAUACAGAGGGUGCAAGCGUUAAUCGGAAUUACUGGGCGUAAAGCGAGCGUAGGUGGCUUGAUAAGUCAGAUGUGAAAUCCCCGGGCUUAACCUGGGAACUGCAUCUGAUACUGUUAAGCUAGAGUAGGUGAGAGGGAAGUAGAAUUCCAGGUGUAGCGGUGAAAUGCGUAGAGAUCUGGAGGAAUACCGAUGGCGAAGGCAGCUUCCUGGCAUCAUACUGACACUGAGGCUCGAAAGCGUGGGUAGCAAACAGGAUUAGAUACCCUGGUAGUCCACGCCGUAAACGAUGUCUACUAGUCGUUGGGUCCCUUGAGGACUUAGUGACGCAGCUAACGCAAUAAGUAGACCGCCU